rnacentral:rRNA from 1 species
AAUAGAUACCCUGGUAGUCCACGCCGUAAACGGUGGGCACUAGGUGUGGGCGACAUUCCACGUCGUCCGUGCCGCAGCUAACGCAUUAAGUACCCCGCCUGGGGAGUACGGCCGCAAGGCUAAAACUCAAAGGAAUUGACGGGGGCCCGCACAAGCGGCGGAGCAUGUGGCUUAAUUCGACGCAACGCGAAGAACCUUACCAAGGCUUGACAGGUACACCGGGAAACGUCCAGAGAUGGGCGCCCCCUUGUGGUCGGUGUACAGGUGGUGCAUGGCUGUCGUCAGCUCGUGUCGCGAGAUGUUGGGUUAAGUCCCGCAACGAGCGCAACCCUUGUCCCGUGUUGCCAGCAGGCCCUUGUGGUGCUGGGGACUCACGGGAGACCGCCGGGGUCAACUCGGAGGAAGGUGGGGACGACGGUCAAGUCAUCAUGCCCCUUAUGUCUUGGGCUGCACACGUGCUACAAUGGCCGGUACAAUGAGCUGCGAUACCGCGAGGUGGAGCGAAUCUCAAAAAGCCGGUCUCAGUUCGGAUUGGGGU